UCCACUCCUUGUCCCACCAACCCCUGUCCUCUGAUCACAGGCGCGGGCUCUGCUUUCCCUGUAUCCUGCCACAUCCACCAAGGGCUCUAGUUUGCCUCCAAGGAGGGGCAGCUGCAAAGACCACAGACACCUCAAUUUACAUAAAAUUAUCUCACUCCAUUUUAUUUAAGAUUUUUUUAUCCAGUUAGUAAAAGGAAGAUGUGUCUCUCUUUAUACAUAUGUACAAGUUGUUAUAAAAAUAGACAGCACAUUCAAAGAGAAAAGGCUUGGCAUUUUUCUGAUUCCCUCUAAAUAGCAUCUGUACACAGGAGUCUGGGUUUGAGCAGGGGAAUCUUAAUGAUUUAAAUUAAAUGAUUCCCCUAUACCCCCUACUCCAAAAAAGUUUUAAAAAUCAAUCUAUCGAAACUCAAUUCCGCGAUUUUCAGGUGUGCAAAUCAGAGGCUUGCCCGCCCGGAGGUACCUGCUCCACCAGGGACAUCAGGCAGGGGCAGGCAGAAACACCUCCCAUGCAAACACUGCCCCUCUGUCUCUACUGGAGGGCAGCAAGCUCGGGCUGGCCGGGCUGGGAGGGCCGGUGCCGAGCCUGCCCCCUCUCUCCGCCCUCUUCACCUCACUCCUGCUGUCCCUUCCUCUCUCAGUGCAAUAUAGACAGUGCAUACAGCCAAGCAGGGGACUGAAGGGCAUGAGCAGGGAGACUGUGCAUUCAGGAUGGGCAAAGGGGACUCUGCAAGAGGAGCAGUGAGGCUGUCCUGCUGAUUGAGGUGGCUCCUGGUCUCUUUACUGGCUUCUGGGAGUCCCCUGGGUGGAAGGUGCUACGGUUGCUGGUAGGAUCUGAAGGUUCUCUUGGUGUGAACCAUGCAGGACGGGAGGAAUUGCUGGGAACACAACUGCCUGUGGAUAGACUUCCUCUAGCCUCUGCCAUGCUUAGCAGCCUCCACCAUCUCUCGCAGUCACUGCUCUCUUCAAUGAUGACACUCUAGGGUUCAGAGACCUGGGGAGCUGCCUGAAGACUGUGGACAACAGGUAUACAAUCUCCCUUACUAGCCCUAUGAGAAAUCACAAUCUUAAGAGAAAUCUCUACCAUGGAAGGCUCUUCACAGCACCUGCGGAGACUUUGCAAGGGACGUGUCAGAGCCGAAGAGUGGAAUGGGGAUGGAAACAGUAUGCCUGAGCAUCUAAAGGGGGUCUGUGUCAGGCUUGCCCCGUGAGAGGUUUAAGACUUGGCUAUGCAGUUCACUUGAGAUGCAGUGGGGCUGAUCCCUGCCCUGUGCCUUCCUCCUACAGGCACCCCAGAUGCUCCUGAUGAGACACAGAUGAUAAAAGUGCUCACACCAUCCACCUGCCUGUCCUUCCCCUGCUGGACAUUUCCACUUCUGACUCAGGAUGCAAGAUGCUGCACGGGGCAAGCCAUCCAAAGAUCACUGGCAGGUCAGGACUCUAGCCCUGGUUUGGUUGAAGGAAGUCGGAGGGCCCAGAUGGUUACCGUCCUCCAGAGGGGUUGGUGCCUUUGCCCUGUUUCCGGACCAGAGAGUCUGGGGCUAGGCUGCUGGUCAUGUGGAGGUUCUUGGGAUUCCCAGGAACAUUAUUUCCCUUGCUCAAAGGGGAACUCAAAGGAGAAGAGGCGCUUGAAGGUCCAAAGUCAGCAAGGCCAGCAGGCCGAACAAGAGAUGUCUGCAGAGGACUGCUGGCGGAGAUUCCUGUGGGGACGGAGAGAGACAAGAACGUUCUGAGGAGAGACCCUGAUGAGUAUAUGCAAUGCCCCAGCCAUGGGUGAGACCCUGCCACGGCAGCCUGGACUACUGGCAUGACUGUUGUUUUCCAAGGAUGUGACCUCAUGUGCAACCUACUUCAACAAGGCUGGAGAACUCCAGGAGAAGCAAAGACUGCCCAGCAGUGUGUCCCUGCUACACGGUCAGGACACUCCUUACGGCUGUGAUGCAGGCAUCUAAAAGGAGCCUCACCUCACUGAAAGGGCUUGGCAUGGCUGAGUCCACGCUAAUGAAGGAGUCAUCUCCAUCAGCAGAGAGGUUGGAGUUAUCAGCCGAGGGAACAAAUGGGAUCACCAGGUUCACACCCUCUUUUCUCCUUUUCCCAUCCAAUUCAUCUUCUUUUUUCUUCUGGGAACACACAGAUAAAUAUGGAAAACGUGUGAGGAUGCACCCCAAAAGAAAAGCGGGAUUUGGGAAGAAAAGGAUAACAGAACUUUUAUUCUUUAGUUUACAAACUUCUCAAUUAGCAUAUUUUUAAGGAAGAAAAACUGCAUAAGGAAGAAGGGAUAGCUUAAUAGGAGUUUAUGUGUAUUUCAGUCGAGUACUGUGGCACAUGCCUGUAAUUCUAACUACUUAGGAGGCUGAGGUGGGAGGAUUGCUUGAGCCCAGAAAUUGGACCCCAGCUCAAAAGAGAAAAAAAAAAAAAGCUUAUGAAUAUCUGCCACAAUAAUAGAGUUUAAAGUUGGGGCAGUCACACUGAACCAGAGCCACACCAACCCUGAUCCUAAUGGGCCGAAGAGCCUCACCAGCCGCUGGCACAUCCAGCACUUAUUGAGGCUGACUGAAUGCAGUCCCACAAAGAGAGCCAAUGCUUUCAAUAUAUUUUCUACAUAUCUGUUUUUAAGACAAAUUUUUAAGACAGUUCAAAUCCUUGGUGUGAAAAAGAGAUGAACAGACAUUUAGAAAUAAACCGGGGGUUUAUUUUUCUAGUGACAGAUGACACUGAGUUGGUACACUAGCAGAAUUAUGGUAGGUUUUGGAUCUCAUGACCUCUUAGGCCCCUUCUAAGAUUCUACGGAGCCUUAUAAGUAAUGCCGAUCUUAGUCACAUUUUAGCCUUCCACGCUUUGUAACAGCCCUGACAAAUGGUUUCCAUAAUUAAACUGUGACCACCGUAAGGGUGAGUUUGUGUGGAGAGUACAGAUCUACCAAGGCCACAUUUCUCCUGAGCAAAGCAUGAGUCAGCCCAGAAAUGUAGCUGAUCAUACACAGCUGGAGCUUGAUAGCAACCAGUAACCCAGAUGAGAAGCCAUGUACCCCAAAGCCUUUUUGGUAAGUACCCCAGGCCCCAUUAGCCCCUAUCCACCAUUCCAGGCUGGAGAUACCUUCUCUGCAUACUUUUCCCGCUUCCGCUUGCGCUCUUUCACUCGGUUGGUUUCCUCCUGUUGCCGUUUCUCUUCCUGCCGCAGCCUCACUAUCAAGAAAAUAAAUUAAGA
rnacentral:lncRNA from 1 species